rnacentral:rRNA from 1 species
UACGUAGGGGGCAAGCGUUGUCCGGAUUUAUUGGGCGUAAAGAGCGUGUAGGCGGCCAAGCAGGUCCGCUGUGAAAACUCGAGGCUCAACCUCGAGACGUCGGUGGAAACCGUUUGGCUAGAGUCCGGAAGAGGAGAGUGGAAUCCCGGUGUAGCGGUGAAAUGCGCAGAUAUCGGGAAGAACACCCGUGGCGAAGGCGGCUCUCUGGGACGGUACUGACGCUGAGACGCGAAAGCGUGGGGAGCGAACAGG